CCUACGGGAGGCAGCAGUGAGGAAUAUUGGUCAAUGGUCGGGAGACUGAACCAGCCAAGCCGCGUGAGGGAUGAAGGUACAGAGUAUCGUAAACCUCUUUUGUCAGGGAACAAAGGCGGGGACGUGUCCCCGGAUGAGUGUACCUGAAGAAAAAGCAUCGGCUAACUCCGGGCCAGCAGCCGCGGUAAUACGGAGGCUGCGAGCGUUAUCCGGAUUUAUUGGGUUUAAAGGGUGCGAAGGCGGUCUGUUAAGUCAGCGGUAAAAGCCCGGGGCUCAACCCCGGCCCGCCGUUGAAACUGGCAGUCUCGAGUUGGAGAGAAGUAUGCGGAAUGCGCGGUGUAGCGGUGAAAUGCAUAGAUAUCGCGCAGAACUCCGAUUGCGAAGGCAGCAUGCCGGCUCCACACUGACGCUGAGGCACGAAAGCGUGGGUAUCGAACAGGAUUAGAUACCCCAGUAGUC
rnacentral:rRNA from 1 species